UAGUCCAAGACAAGAAUCAGCUCAAUCAAUACAAUGAAGGCUGUGAUUUGUUUUUUGUUUAUGUUCAUCUUUAUGCUACUUAGAAUCUCAAGCGAUGCAGCAAGCAUUCACAGAAUUCCCAAUUUAUCGCCACUUAGAAUCAUGCAAAAAGAUGAGAUGGACAACUUUACCUACCAAGUUUAUUAUCCAGAAGUCGAGAGUGCCUUUAGAAAAGUCUAUUACAUAUUAAUGUCUCCCUCCGGAUAUUAUUUCAACGAAAAAAGGCGUAAAGAGAUCAAUAAGUGGUUAAAACUGGAUAAUGAGCCUUUCUUUUAUUGAAAUAUUAUUACUAUUAUUGUAAUCAGUUGUUGUGUUUUUGAAAUAACUUUAUAGUUAUUAAAACUAAGAAGGGUAUUUAGACUUCGUUAAUGUAAAGAUAAUUAAAUUUAGCUUGCUAUUGAAUAUAACACACGAACAUGUACUCUU